AUGGCAGAGGAACCGUCCGCCAAAUGUCAUCAUGCUGAGACGUCGGACAAGAGCAGCAACCUCGUCGACAUUCACAUCCCCGGCAAGAAGCGCGAGUACACAACAACCCUCACAGGGGUUGAGCUCCACGGCAACGAGACGCUAGAGAUCGUCUGCACCAGCGUACCAGAAAAGGCCGACGAGGUGAUCUCCAGGCUCUGGAGGAAGCUUGGCGGCAAGAGUCCGAAUCGUAGGAUCGUCGGUGUUGGUGUGCACUACACCAACGAAGAUGAACCUCCCCAGAUGACAGCAGUCCUGUAG
rnacentral:rRNA from 1 species